rnacentral:lncRNA from 1 species
AGACUGUGCGGCUAAAGCCGCAGUAACUCGGUCGGUGAAGAAGACAAUAGCUGCUGUUUCCUGCUUCUCAGCAAGAACCUUUUUCUGCUCUGUCUCUAGUUUGGCUACAGACUCGUUGAUUAGGUCGGUAUAAUACUCAAUGCUGUCUACUUUUUUUCCGGCCAGACCAAGCAAGCCUGUUUUGUUCGUUGGUCGGUUACUAGUCGCUGCAAAUAUCGCUUCUGCACGUGCAAGCUUUUUCUUGUAACCUUCCAACCCUUCCCAUAUCUUAUUAACCUACAAAACAAGAAACAUAGGUAGAGCUGUCAAAUGGUCUGUCUGGCGCCCAUACUGUGGACAUUAUUGGCCGGUCCAUAAACCUGUACAAUGUACAGCCCAUUUCAAUAUAAUUUUAAAUCUUAUAUAUUAAAACAAAAUUCAUAACCUUGAUUCAUAUGUGAUUUUUUUUAAAAUAGACCUAAUGGACAUAUUCCUAGAAAAUCAUGUUACAUUUAAUAUAUAAUCUUAUCAUUUAAAUUUUGGACAUACCAGAAAUUUUUAUUGGUCUAUCAAUAAUUGGAUUUAAACAAUAGAUGAUCCAUUGAAUUUAUAUAUAGUAUAAAUUAAAUAUAUAUAAUUUAAUGUUAUAUACUAUACCUCUAUAUGCUAAAUAUUUAAAUAUUUGUCGAUGUUAAAUUUUAAAAUUAUAAAGAUUUUUUUUUAAAUAACAAAAAUCAUAUUAUCUAACAAUGAUCCAUCUUUAAUUCCUUAAACCAAUGAACACAAAUUUUAAACUAUAUAGGCUAUUUUAAAAAUUAAACAAAAACUAAAUGUUUAUUAUUUACUCGAUAAUAUAAAUCUAUGAAGCGAAAAUUUUAAUUUUUUAAAAACUUUAUAAAUUUGUGAAAUAUUACAAUAUAUUUGAAUAUGACAAUAAAACAAUAUACAUUCAAGACCGAGAAGUAAAAGUACUUCCCCGAGGCAGCUCUAACGGCGUGGCUCCGCGAAGGAAUCCCCUCGGAUUUAGAGAGGAACAUGAGGAACUUAGGCAACAUCGCCAAGAAGAUGAUGAGCGCAAUCUGAGGAAGGUAAGACUCAAGGAUGGUUCUUAUGAAAGUUAUCUUCACAACCGGCUUUAUAAAAGGAAUAGCCUUCUGGAGAUUCGCAAGAGUGGUGAUCGCAGAGACAAACGCGAUAGGUAUCAUGUAAAACAAAAUGGUUAUCGCGACAAUGAAGUAGAUCAAGUAUUGUCUGAUUAGUCUAGUGAAAAACUUGAUGUUGAGAUUCUCCCAGAGGAUCUGGCGAGGCUCAGGUGCUUCGGUCACUGUCCAUGUAUCGACCAUCUGGCUGUGUAGAGACUGUGCGGCUAAAGCCGCAGUAACUCGGUCGGUGAAGAAGACAAUAGCUGCUGUUUCCUGCUUCUCAGCAAGAACCUUUUUCUGCUCUGUCUCUAGUUUGGCUACAGACUCGUUGAUUAGGUCGGUAUAAUACUCAAUGCUGUCUACUUUUUUUCCGGCCAGACCAAGCAAGCCUGUUUUGUUCGUUGGUCGGUUACUAGUCGCUGCAAAUAUCGCUUCUGCACGUGCAAGCUUUUUCUUGUAACCUUC